GUUGACGCCGGCCAGGCCGGUGCGGUCGGAUGCGCCGCGGCAGCCCCGGGCCCCGGCUCGGAGGCUCCCGGCGGAGAGGAGGCGGCCCGCCCGGGCCCGGGACCCCGCGCGAGUCGGCGCCCGGCCGAGGGGCUGCGUAGGCCCCAACCGGCCAGGCCCAGCCGGGCCCUGGACAGAGACAGGGCAGGGCAUUGUUCAUGCACUGACCGACCUCAGCAGCCCCGGCAUGACCUCAGGGAACGGAAACUCUGCCUCCAGCAUCGCCGGCACUGCCCCCCAGAAUGGAUUAUCUUUCCAAGGUCCAGAAGAGGGGGGUCAGUGAUCAGGAAUAAUUGGCAAGACCCUUGGUUAGAAGUUUCCCACACAAACUCAGGUGGGACGCUCGUCCCUGCUGGUGGGGAAUCUCAAGAAGAAGUAUGCACAGGGGUUCCUGCCUGAGAAACUUCCACAGCAGGAUCACACCACCACCACUGACUCGGAGAUGGAGGAGCCCUAUCUGCAAGAAUCCAAAGAGGAGGGUGCUCCCCUCAAACUCAAGUGUGAGCUCUGUGGCCGGGUGGACUUUGCCUAUAAGUUCAAGCGUUCCAAGCGCUUCUGUUCCAUGGCUUGUGCAAAGAGGUACAACGUGGGAUGCACCAAACGGGUGGGACUUUUCCACUCAGACCGGAGCAAGCUGCAGAAGGCAGGAGCUGCGACCCACAACCGCCGUCGGGCCAGCAAAGCCAGUCUGCCACCACUUACCAAGGAUACCAAGAAGCAG
rnacentral:sRNA from 1 species